CCUACGGGGGGCUGCAGUGGGGAAUAUUGGACAAUGGGCGAAAGCCUGAUCCAGCCAUGCCGCGUGUGUGAAGAAGGCCUUCGGGGUGUAAAGCACUUUCAGUGGGGAAGAAAGCCUUGGGGCUAAUACCCUCGAGGAAGGACAUCACCCACAGAAGAAGCACCGGCUAACUCCGUGCCAGCAGCCGCGGUAAUACGGAGGGUGCGAGCGUUAAUCGGAAUUACUGGGCGUAAAGCGCGCGUAGGCGGUCUGAUAAGCCGGUUGUGAAAGCCCCGGGCUCAACCUGGGAACGGCAUCCGGAACUGUCAGGCUAGAGUGCAGGAGAGGAAGGUAGAAUUCCCGGUGUAGCGGUGAAAUGCGUAGAGAUCGGGAGGAAUACCAGUGGCGAAGGCGGCCUUCUGGACUGACACUGACGCUGAGGUGCGAAAGCGUGGGUAGCAAACAGGAUUAGAUACCCGAGUAGUC
rnacentral:rRNA from 1 species